GGCGUCGGAGCCCGGUGGCCUCGCAGCCAAACUGCAAAACCUCCAUCCCCGGUUCAAAUCCGGGCGGCGCCUCCA
rnacentral:tRNA from 1 species